ACGUCGCCAGGUGGUCCCGAAGCCUUCUGCCGAUGCAGCAAAAGUCCUUCAACGUCCCUUCUCACAAAGGGCAGUUUAGGGUUUGGUUCGGUGACGAGAGGAAAUCUGAAACAAUAUUAACGAACUUCUCAUUCUACCAGCCCAACCCCAUCACCACGGCAAGGGCCUUUGAUUUCCCCUCGUCUCCAAGCAUCCGUCCACGGCUUCCUCCACAGAAUUCCCGUACCAAGUCGAUCAUGGCUCCGAUCCGGAGCCACUACCGGCCUCCAGCACCUCCUUCAGACGGUUGCAACCGCCGAGAAGCUGGUCUGGGAUUUUAAGGCCGUAAGUCGACACAUGGGUUCGCCAGACGACCUCUGUACCGACGCAAUGGAAGGAUGCUAGCUUUUCGAGAACCAUCGACGCCCCGUCCUCGGGACGGAUCGAACCCCUGGGAACGGGCCACAAAUGAAGGCGCAGCGGUGCUGAGGCCUGGUCGCCCGUUUCUUAGGUAUGGAUGGUAUGGGACCGAUGUCGAGGGCAUAGAUGGAAUCCCCUCUGGUUUCGGGCUUGCGGAUGCCCGGCAGGGCCACGGUGGGGGCUCUUUUGGUGGCUUCAUGAGGUGGCUAUUUUGGUAGCUUGGUUUGGUGAGUUCCUGAGCCCUUUCCUGUCUUUAUAUAACAGUUGCUCAUUUGUCAUUUAGUUCCAGCACCCAAAGUUUCGAGAGAAAGCUUGCAUCCGGUUUUGCGAAUAUGUUGUGGGCAGGAUUUAAUCCGCUAUUGAUAAUAGAAAUAUGUGCUUUAUUUUGUUUCAUAC